rnacentral:snRNA from 1 species
GUGCUCACUUCAGUAGCACAUAUACUAAAAUUGCAACAAUACAGAGAAGAUUAGCAUGGCCCCUGUGUAAGGA